UACGAAGGGGGCUAGCGUUGCUCGGAAUCACUGGGCGUAAAGCGCACGUAGGCGGAUUGCUAAGUCAGGGGUGAAAUCCUGGAGCUCAACUCCAGAACUGCCUUUGAUACUGAAAGUCUUGAGUAUGGGAGAGGUGAGUGGAACUGCGAGUGUAGAGGUGAAAUUCGUAGAUAUUCGCAAGAACACCAGUGGCGAAGGCGGCUCACUGGCCCAUAACUGACGCUGAGGCACGAAAGCGUGGGGAGCAAACAGG
rnacentral:rRNA from 1 species